UGUGUAGGCGGCUCUCUAAGUUUGGUGUGAAAUCUCCCGGCUCAACCGGGAGGGUGCGCCGAAAACUGGAGGGCUAGAGUGCGGGAUGGGAGAGUAGAAUUCCUGGUGUAGCGGUGAAAUGCGUAGAUAUCAGGAGGAAUACCGGUGGUGUAGACGGCUCUCUGGACCGCAACUGACGCUGAAACACGAAAGCGUGGGUAGCAAACAGGAUUAGAUACCCUGGUAGUCCACGCCCCAAACGAUGCAUAUUUGGUGUAGGUCAUUCAGUUGAUCUGUGCCGGAGCUAACGCGUUAAAUAUGCCGCCUGGGGAGUACAGUCGCAAGGCUGAA
rnacentral:rRNA from 1 species